UUCCAUGCUUCUUCUGCCCUGUUGUAUAUUGCUAUUUCGUUUAUUGCCGUUGCAUGAUUUGCUUGCAGGUAGAAGAGGGCUAAGUGGUGUAGCUCUGCUUGGUUGCUGGUACAUCGACGAAGGCAUCCAUGAUGUUAAUUCUUUCCAUGCUAGCCUAUGCCCGCGUGGGGGCAAGACGCCAUUCCAGCUCGUGUGUAUCAAGAUCCAGGAGAUAAAACUGUUCUGCUGCAAGAAGAAAUUGCUACAAUAAUUAGUUGUCUAUUUUUCCUACUUUUCGUGCCAAUUUUUGUAACAUAAUUAUUGAUUUGGGUUACAAUAUUAUGAGGUUGCAAUGAGAAAUUUAUUGC